rnacentral:rRNA from 1 species
GACGGUAGGGCGCGAGCGUUGUCCGGAUUUAUUGGGCGUAAAGAGCUCGUAGGCGGUUUGUCGCGUCUGCCGUGAAAGUCCGGGGCUCAACUCCGGAUCUGCGGUGGGUACGGGCAGACUAGAGUGAUGUAGGGGAGACUGGAAUUCCUGGUGUAGCGGUGAAAUGCGCAGAUAUCAGGAGGAACACCGAUGGCGAAGGCAGGUCUCUGGGCAUUAACUGACGCUGAGGAGCGAAAGCAUGGGGAGCGAACAGG